CAUUUUUUGAUGUCCACGUGUUCUUGUUCACGAAAUUACAGUGGCUGUAACAUGUCUAUCAUAAAGAAGUGGCCAAAUGUUAAAGAUUAAGUGCACAUUUAAAUUAAAUAUCAUUCGGCCAAUAUUAAACAAGGAUUUGAUCUGCUGUAAAGUGUAACAAUCACCAGGCUGCUGGCGCUCACUGCAGGAAUUAGUUAUAAUACAUAAUGUACAUAAGUGGAUUGUCUAUAUUAUAUUAUGUAUUUUAACAGUGUUGUUCUAUAAAACCAUAUGAUUACUUGCUUUUGGAACUUUAUUUGAACCAAAUAUUAUUGCCUCAGUGUUAUUAUACAUCAUUUUAAAGGGUAUUGUUUGCUUAGGGCUUUUUUUAAUACCUCACAAAAAAAAAAAUCUGAUUUCCUGAUUAAUCAUCAAAAUAAUCGUCCGAUUACUCUAUUACCAAAAUAAUCGUUAGUGACAGCCCUAAUUAUAAUAUUGUCCUAUCUGAAAUUUCUCCAGAUUCAAAUGCAGUGAAGGUUCUCUUCUGGAGGGUGGCGGUGCAUUCUGGGGCACGUUGGGAGACUGGAGUCGAGUGUGUGAGGGAAGAGGAAUCUGCGGUAUCAAGACACGGGUAGAAGAGCCACAGGGAAUAGGAGAUGACACUGCUCUCAAUGACGUGCAAAUGUACUGCUGUGAUUAAGGUGUAAGAGGAUGACCACAAGAACAGCAAGAAGCUAAUUGAUUAUCAUACUAUGAUGAGCUAACAUGAGCUAAAUGUCGUACAACAGUUUUGUAAUUGGGAUAAUGUGCACAUCAUUCCACUUAUUACAAAGCUACUUGUCUUGUAGAUUAGUGAUGUUUUCAUUUUCCUGCUUUAGAUGGAGACUCCUGAUCUGGCGCCUGUUCCCAGCAUUAAAGAAGCACCUUGUCAUUUCAUGUUCUUUAGCACAACACUUUACAUUAAAUGUUUCAUUAUGUUGGUGCAUUUGGUAGAUGCUUUUAUACAAGUGACUUACAUUGCAUUCAAAGUAAUCAUCUUAUCAGUUAAUGCACUUCCUGGGGGUCAAAUCCAUGAAAUGCAUACUCUACUGUUUGAGCUACAGGUAUACAGGAAUACUACAUUAAACUGUACAACUGCCAACCCUGUUACCUUACCUUAUAAUCUUACAAAAAUGUUAAUAAUGACAGAAUGUGGAUGUAAAAAUUUAAAUAUAUGGUUGAGCAGGACACCAGUGUCUAGAAAUGAGCAUUGUAAGAUAAACAGAACCUCAGAUACUUUGAUCUCCUGAGAUAUGGACAGUACAAACACAUACAGCCAUUUGUCUUCACACCCCACAGAGUGAAGUUGUGGGAAAGCUUCUUUUCAUCCUGUCCUUCAGACACACAGCAUUAUCUUUCUAAUAUCAGGUAUGCAUCUUUUAUUUGAUGUUUUGUAUCUAUUAUCUUCAAAUUGAUUAUGUAAUUGGCAUGAUACAUUUACCUGACAAUAAUAAACUGUUAUAUUUGAUUUUA